GCUUGUCUCAAAGAUUAAGCCAUGCAUGUCUUAGUGUAAAUAACUCUUAUGAAACUGCGAAUGGCUCAUUAAAUCAGUUAUCAAAUACGUGAUGGUCGCCUACUACAUGGAUAACCGUAGUAAUUCUAGAGCUAAUACAUGCUGUAAAGCCCGACUUCUCGGAAGGGCCGUAUUUAUUAGAUAACAGACCAGCAGCUUCGGCUAUUGUGGUGAAUCAUAGUAACUAAUCGGAUCGCAUGGGCUAGUCCCGCGACAAACCAUUCAAGUUUCUGCCCCAUCAGCUUUCGACGGUAGUGUAUUGGACUACCGUGGCUUUUACGGGUAACGGAGGAUUAGGGUUCGAUUCCGGAGAGGGAGCCUGAGAAACGGCUACCACAUCUAAGGAAGGCAGCAGG
rnacentral:rRNA from 1 species